GAUGAACGCUGGCGGCGUGCCUAAUACAUGCAAGUCGAGCGAAUGGAUUAAGAGCUUGCUCUUAUGAAGUUAGCGGCGGACGGGUGAGUAACACGUGGGUAACCUGCCCAUAAGACUGGGAUAACUCCGGGAAACCGGGGCUAAUACCGGAUAACAUUUUGAACCGCAUGGUUCGAAAUUGAAAGGCGGCUUCGGCUGUCACUUAUGGAUGGACCCGCGUCGCAUUAGCUAGUUGGUGAGGUAACGGCUCACCAAGGCAACGAUGCGUAGCCGACCUGAGAGGGUGAUCGGCCACACUGGUACUGAGACACGGCCCAGACUCCUACGGGAGGCAGCAGUAGUGAAUCUUCCGCAAUGGGCGAAAGUCUGACGGAGCAACGCCGCGUGAAUGAUGAAGGCUUUCGGGUCGUAAAACUCUGUUGUUAGGGAAGAACAAGUGCUAGUUGAAUAAGCUGGCACCUUGACGGUACCUAACCAGAAAGCCACGGCUAACUACGUGCCAGCCGCCGCGGUAA
rnacentral:rRNA from 1 species